rnacentral:rRNA from 1 species
AUGAAUUGCAUGAGCUGGAACCGUCGAGGGCUUGGGAACCCUGAGACAGUUCGCGAGCUUCGCAAGAUUGUGAAGCAUGAAGGUCUCGCCCUUCUCUUCGUGAUGGAAACGAAUAUUAGGGGGAAACGAGUGGAAAGUUUGCAGCCCCUCUUGGGGUUUGCCAGUAGUUUUGCUGUUGAUAGCGAUGGAUUGAGUGGUGGCAUUGGUUUUUUUGUCAUAGGAUGUUCAUGUCGAACUGAAGAAUUGCAGCAAAGCUCACAUUGA